UAGAAAAGUUUUCCAACUCGUCUAUUUCGAUUACGGAGCGGCUGGAAUAAAGAAGUGCGCGUCGCGAGCAAUCUUUAUAAAAGUUAUUUUUUUCCUUUUUACGUUCAAUUUUUCUAAGUUCUUUCGAAUUAUUGAAACUUAAAUAAAUUUCGCGUCGAACUUCUUUAGUGAAAUAAUCUUUCGUAAAAUAAAAGCGUCGUCCCACGGCGCUU